GAGGUGGGAGAGCCAUCACUGGAGAGGUGGCAUUGGCGCCAGUACUCAGGCCAGAAGCCCCUUGUGCCCUGCUCUCAGGUAGGCCUGGAAAAGGGCAACAGUGCCUCUCUGCAGCAUGAAGCCCCCCUGAGCAAACAGGGCCUAGCAACUCCUGCCCAGGGGUUUCCUCCCAUAUUGGAUCACGAUGAAAACUGCACAGAAAGUCCGUGCUCAGUUUCUUCCAUGGUUACAGAACACAGGCCCCAGACCAGGAAGGCAUUCUGCUAAAGAAGGGGACCCGAAACCUCAGCUACCAGCGCCGAUGGUUCAUCCUCCGAGGAAACCUCCUCUUCUACCUAGAACACUAGACCGACCAUGCACCCCUGAGCCUCAUCCUGUUAGAGAACUGCCAGGUGGAACCACACCUUAAGGCUGCAGAACCCUAUGCCUUUACCAUCCUGACCCCUGGGGUGGAGGGCACAGGUGGGCGGGCCUACAAGCUGGCUGCAGAAACCCAGGAAGAGCUGGAGACUUGGCUGUGGGCACUGGCUGGCGCGAGCUGGAGGCGGCUGGCUGGGCUGCUGUCCCCCCUCCCCCCCCACCAAAACCCAAUACUGGGAGCUGUGCCAGGCAACUGGCCAAGAACCCAUCUCAUCCCCAGAGGACAGUGGCUUUCUAGCCACUGUGAGUACCCCCUCCAGCUUCCAGGAGUUGCAUGAGCACUUUGGGAAGGAGAUCCGGGUGCUGCACGUGGUACAUAGAGAGCUCCAGGCAGCCAGUGACAAUGGAGACAGCAGAUCCCAGGCAAAGAUGGAGCAGGAGCUCAACCAGUGUCUGAUGAGUGACUGAGAGAUGGACCCAAAGCUAAGAGGUACCUACUUGCCAAGACAGCAGACUGCUUCAACAGAGACCCAGGUCCUGGCUCUGUCCCUCCCUCCCUCGUCCUUACCCCAUCCCCCCCUCAUCAAAUAACAAGGCAGAAAACAGGCCCAGGUA
rnacentral:lncRNA from 1 species